GAUGAACGCUGGCGGCGUGCCUAAUACAUGCAAGUCGAGCGAACAGACGAGGAGCUUGCUCCUCUGACGUUAGCGGCGGAAGGGUGAGUAACACGUGGAUAACCUACCUAUAAGACUGGGAUAACUUCGGGAAACCGGAGCUAAUACCGGAUAAUAUAUUCAACCGCAUGGUUCAAUAGUGAAAGACGGUUUUGCUGUCACUUAUAGAUGGACCCGCGCCGCAUUAGCUAGUUGGUAAGGUAACGGCUUACCAAGGCAACGAUGCCUAGCCGACCUAAGAGGGUGCUCGGCCCCACUGGAAGUGACACACCGUCCAGACUCCAACGGGAGGCAACAGUCGGGAAUCGGCCGCAAUGGGCGAAAGCCUGACGGAGCAACGCCGCGUGAGUGAUGAAGGUCUUCGGCUCGUAACACUCUGUUAUUAGGGAAGAACAAAUGUGUAAGUAACUAUGCACGUCUUGACGGUACCUAAUCAGAAAGCCACGGCUAACCACUUG
rnacentral:rRNA from 1 species